rnacentral:rRNA from 1 species
UACGUAGGGUGCGAGCGUUGUCCGGAAUUAUUGGGCGUAAAGAGCUCGUAGGCGGUCUGUCGCGUCGAUCGUGAAAACUUGGGGCUUAACCCUGAGCUUGCGGUCGAUACGGGCAUGACUGGAGUUCGGCAGGGGAGACUGGAAUUCCUGGUGUAGCGGUGAAAUGCGCAGAUAUCAGGAGGAACACCGGUGGCGAAGGCGGGUCUCUGGGCCGAUACUGACGCUGAGACGCGAAAGCGUGGGGAGCGAACAGG